GGUUCCGUAGUGUAGUGGUUAUCACGCUCGCUUCACACGCGAGAGGACCUGGGUUCCAGCCCCAGCGGAACCA